rnacentral:rRNA from 1 species
AUGCAGUCGAGCGGAUGAGAGGAGCUUGCUCCUCGAUUCAGCGGCGGACGGGUGAGUAAUGCCUAGGAAUCUGCCUAGUAGUGGGGGACAACGUUUCGAAAGGAACGCUAAUACCGCAUACGUCCUACGGGAGAAAGUGGGGGAUCUUCGGACCUCACGCUAUUAGAUGAGCCUAGGUCGGAUUAGCUAGUUGGUAGGGUAAAGGCCUACCAAGGCGACGAUCCGUAACUGGUCUGAGAGGAUGAUCAGUCACACUGGAACUGAGACACGGUCCAGACUCCUACGGGAGGCAGCAGUGG